GACGAACGCUGGCGGCGUGCUUAACACAUGCAAGUCGAACGGAAAGGCCCUGCUUUUGUGGGGUGCUCGAGUGGCGAACGGGUGAGUAACACGUGAGUAACCUGCCCUUGACUUUGGGAUAACUUCUGGAAACUGGGGCUAAUACCGGAUAGGAGCUCCUGCUGCAUGGUGGGGGUUGGAAAGUUUCGGCGGUUGGGGAUGGACUCGCGGCUUAUCAGCUUGUUGGUGGGGUAGUGGCUUACCAAGGCUUUGACGGGUAGCCGGCCUGAGAGGGUGACCGGCCACAUUGGGACUGAGAUACGGCCCAGACUCCUACAGGAGGCAGCAGUGGGGAAUAUUGCACAAUGGGCGGAAGCCUGAUGCAGCAACGCCGCGUGCGGGAUGACGGCCUUCGGGUUGUAAACCGCUUUCGCCUGUGACGAAGCGUGAGUGACGGUAAUGGGUAAAGAAGCACCGGCUAACUACGUG
rnacentral:rRNA from 1 species